GUGCUUGUUUCAGCAGCACACGUACUACACCUAGAAUGAUACAGAGAAGAUUAGCAAGAUCCCUGUGCAAGAAUGACAUGCAAAUUUGUGAAGCAUUCCAUAUUUUA